rnacentral:lncRNA from 1 species
CAGCACGAGUUCUCAAUGGGUGGAAAUGCAACUCAACGCUGGUGUAUGGUGUUUGUGUGUAACAACAAAUGCUGUAAGUUAUUCAUCAGCACAAUUUCAGAUAAGAUGAAAAGAGAAACAAAAUAAAAGUGGUUAGAUAUCUAACCUGAUAUGCUGUUGCAAGGAAAAUAGAACAUGCUAAAUGCACCUCAAUGUUCAGCACUGCUACAGCUGGUUGCAAUAAAGGUUGCCAGUAGUUCACAUGCUUUGCUCCAGCAAAUCCCAGUGAUGCUAAUAAAUAAGUUGUUAAAGCAUACAAAUUGAAAAAUUAUACUACCUGGUUACUCCACAGAGGAGGUCAUGCUUUAAUAGGCAAGUACGAUACACGAUUCAGCUAUCUGGGCGAUGAACAGUUGCAGAACCCAGAACACAUAAAGACCGGUGCUUGUAUUUCGGCUGCAUGGGCACUACAAGUUCUCAAAUUUAGGCUGCACACUAUUCUAAAUCAUAACGUUUGCUUGAGCAUAAAUGGACCGAAGGAUGCUGCAGU